GCCUGGCUGGCUCAGUCGGUAGAGCGUGUGACUCUUGAUCUCACGGUCAUGAGUUCAAGCCCCACGUGGGGCA
rnacentral:tRNA from 1 species